UGCUGACAUUUGUGAACAGCUCAGAGUGUUCUAAAGCAACAGUCUCCAACCUUUCAGACUUGGUGACCCGGCCUGGGAGGGGGGCAUGUGAAUUGCAGGCACAAGCGUGUACAGCUCCCAUUUGUGUGAGCGGUGGAUGCACACAUCCUCCACUCACAUAAAUGGAGCUUUGUGCAUGAGCGGAGGGUGCUUGCGCUCGAAGCUUCACUCGGACGAGAGGCAGCACUUGUGCGAGCAGAGCGUGCUCUCUUACAAAGCUCCAUUCACACAAAUUGAGCUUUGUGGCUAGUGGAACUUUGCGCACAACAGCAAAUGCCCUUCACUCAUGCGAGUGGAGCUUCAUGCUCAAACACACCCUUGCCUGCCACUCACAUGAGUGGAGCUUUACAUACGGACACUUGCCCAUAUCUCCCGCAGCCCAGUUUCAAACAGGCCACAGCCUGGUAGUGGGCCGCGGCCCGGGGAUUGGGGAUCUCUAUUAUAAAGUACCAUGGGGUGAUAUAUAAGUCUAAGUGCUACUGCUAUAUGUGAACCCAACUCAAAGAGUAUCAGUCUCCCAAAGAUCUACAGUUUCAUAUGAGUAAAGGUGGGAAUGAAGUAUUCGAAGUAUUCGUUUCUUGAUGUGUCUUAUCUCCAAGAAAGUGCAUUCCAAUAGUCAAAGCUUGUUGAAAGGGAAACGCUGUUACUGUAGCGUUCUCAUGUACUUGCCUUAUUUUUAAAAUUUAUAUGCCACCCAUCUCCCCAGUAGAGUGACUCUAGGGGGACCUACAUUAGUACACACAUGCAUUUCCUGUAACGGUAGAUCAGAUAUAACUCAUCCCUUCUAAGACUGAAUUCAGCAGCAUAAUUGGAGUAAUUGGUUAAGACGUUCAAUCUGUUUUUAAUGGAGAUGGAAUGACUCUUGAUGUUAUAAAGACAAAACAAUACUAGUGUGUUAAUCUUUUGCGAAAAUGUGAAACCUGUAAGGUAAUCAGUGACUUAGACCUAGAUCUCUGUGAAUUCUGACAAAUAAAAGGAGUGUACAGUGAAUAACCGGCAUUAAAGAUAUUUUAGUCGAAAUGAGGAUCAAACGAGAUUCAGACAGGACUUCAGCGCCCAAGUCAGCAAAUUAAAGGAGGACAAGGCAGCAACAGCUUCAACUUCCAGACAAGAGAAGGCAUAAAUAUACUAUGCUGAUAGUGAGCAGCUUCCCCAAAAUAGUUAAAUCUGCCCGUCAGUGAUGCAAUAACGAAGAAAGUCUAGGAAGAGUUCUUCACCAAUUGGAAUCUCCCCAGGUCAUAGCUACUUGAGUUGGCCCAGUCGUAGGUCUAGCAUUUAGACCUGAAAGGGGAGUAAGACUAGGUAAGGUUUGUCUCUAACACUUUCCAUGAAUUAAAAAAAUAAUUCCUCUUUGAACAUGGUAAGAAAGAUCUGUUUGACUUGCAGAUUAUUGAAGAAACCUCUGUGACCAGAGGUGGAUAUCUUAUUGGAAAACUUUUGCUUGGUAAGAAUGUACAACACUGAUCCUUUUAUUGUAUUCCUGAGCUCUGAAAAAUUUUUGAGUUUUGGAGACAAGAACAAACUGGGUAAAUGUGAAAAUAUAUUGAAUAAUUACUGUAUUCAAAUCAAUGUGGAUGGGUAUAUUAAAUAAUUGGCAUUUAGGUCUAACAUGUAAUAGCAUGAAUGGAAUUGGGGGGGGAGGACUACUCUGAGCUUGAAACAAAACAUUUUUAAUAUUUUGAGAAGAUGUUUUUUUUCCUGAUGAAACAUAACAUACCUUUGACCACUUUAGCAUAGGAAAAAUGGGUACUCCUUGAAACAAGUUUUACUCCCCUGCUUUCCUAGAACAAAAAGUUCCCAUUGUAUUGUAGCAGAAUAUGGAAAGCAACGGAACAAAUUAUUUUGUUUUACUUUUUGGAAAUCUAAGAACAGUUGAUUGCUUUUUGCUAUUUGCAUGCUCCUGGCAUAUAGCUUCUUAAUGCCGUUACCAAAAUUUGACAGGAAUCACUGUAUUUUGGAGGGAUAAUUUCCCAGUGAUUUGGGUAAGAGGUGUAUGAUGCAUCACAGAUUGUUGAACAUACCUAAUUGCAUACAUCAGGCAAAUUAAAAAAAAAACACAACCUUUCACACAACCUGAAAAUCCUGAUUUUAUUACUCGUGUGAUUUUUCAGUUAGAAAAGUAGCCAGUAUAAAGUUAGCAUUGCUGGAUUCCCAUUGGUAAUGUUUCUAAUUGCCAAAUUGCAGGCAAGAAAAUCAGUAACAUUCUCACCUGGAAUACUUGAUGUGCCCUCUAAAUUAAUUUUCAGGACUAUGAGUGGCAAAGAGCACCUAUGCUCCCUUUUUGCCUUAUGAAAACAGGGUUGAGACUAAAAUGGGUACAGUAAUCUCAGCAAUCCCCAGCAAGAUGGAAAUGGGGUGAGUGCAUGUGUUUCUCUGUGCCUCAAAUUUGGAUAGAUAUUUUUAUUGGUAAAAGAGUACCUGAAUCCUGUAUGCGCUCAGCUAAAUAUUUUCCCAAACAAGACGGAGAUUAACCAACUGUACGUUUGGUGAUGGGCUUUAUAUACAUUAUGGUGCUAGAACAGUGCCAGCAUUAGGGAUCUUAUGGUCCUCAAUAAACUUAGCAAAGUUAUGAUAUUCAGUAGGUUACCAUUCUUAAUGUGCUAAAUUGUUUGCUUUUAUCUUCUGCUCUGCAGGAUGACUAAUCCUGAAGAAACAAUCGUCUGUUUCCAUAAAUUGAAAUUUUUGAUUCUUCAAUGGAACAUGCAUACAACUGAUAGCUAUGAGAGCAAAAAUUGAACCAUGUAAUAAUCAAAUGCUUACAAUAAAACAUAGUUAAUUAUGAUAGUUGAUGAAUCUGAA